UACGUAGGGCGCAAGCGUUAUCCGGAAUUAUUGGGCGUAAAGAGCUCGUAGGCGGUUUGUCGCGUCUGCCGUGAAAGUCCGGGGCUCAACUCCGGAUCUGCGGUGGGUACGGGCAGACUAGAGUGAUGUAGGGGAGACUGGAAUUCCUGGUGUAGCGGUGAAAUGCGCAGAUAUCAGGAGGAACACCGAUGGCGAAGGCAGGUCUCUGGGCCACUACUGACGCUGAGGCUCGAAAGCGUGGGGAGCAAACAGG
rnacentral:rRNA from 1 species